rnacentral:rRNA from 1 species
GAUGAACGCUGGCGGCGUGCCUAAUACAUGCAAGUCGAGCGAACGGACGAGAAGCUUGCUUCUCUGAUGUUAGCGGCGGACGGGUGAGUAACACGUGGAUAACCUACCUAUAAGACUGGGAUAACUUCGGGAAACCGGAGCUAAUACCGGGUAAUAUUUUGAACCGCAUGGUUCAAAAGUGAAAGACGGUCUUGCUGUCACUUAUAGAUGGAUCCGCGCUGCAUUAGCUAGUUGGUAAGGUAACGGCUUACCAAGGCAACGAUGCAUAGCCGACCUGAGAGGGUGAUCGGCCACACUGGAACUGAGGCACGGUCCAGACUCCUACGGGAGGCAGCAGUAGGGAAUCUUCCGCAAUGGGCGAAAGCCUGACGGAGCAACGCCGCGUGAGUGAUGAAGGUCUUCGGAUCGUAAAACUCUGUUAUUAGGGAAGAACAUAUGUGUAAGUAACUGUGCACAUCUUGACGGUACCUAAUCAGAAAGCCACGGCUAACUACGUG